AAACAAAACUGGGAGACAAUGGAAGGAAGUCCCUCCCUGGAAUUUAAGGGCUUUUUGAAAAAAAUCAUGGGCCACACAUUUCUCCCAAGCUUCUGGUUUCUUUUGGUUUCCUACCCCGAGACAGUUCCUAGGACUUCUCUAUUUAUGUGAAGUGAUUAGAUAGUUGUAGGGCAAAUACACAACAACCUGUCUAAAGAACCUUAAAAAAAAAAAAAAGGAGAAACACAAAAAAACCCAUAUUCAGCACCCCAGGGAAAAAGCUGCCUCAAGGAAACUGAGGCUUUUGAAUUUUUCUUUUUCUUUUUCUUUUUUUUUCUUUUCUUUUUUUUUUUUUUUUUUUUUUUUUUGGUCUUUUUUGGGCCACACCCAUGGCACAUGGAGGUUCCCGGGCUAGGGGUCGAACUGGAGCCUUAGCCAACAGCCUACGCCAGAGCCACAGCAACGCAGGAUCCGAGCCUUGUCUGAGACCUACACCACAGCUCACAGCAACGACGGAUCCUGAACCCACUGAGCGAGGCCAGGGAUUGAACCUGCAUCCUCCUGGAUCCUAGUCAGGUUUUGUUACCGCUGAGCCACGACAGGAACUUCAUGAGGCUUUUUAAAUUAGACACAUCCACACUGCAAUGUUAUGGUUAACGAGCGCCUCCACAUUCACCUGAGGCAGGACCUCCUACUGGCCCCGGUCUGUGCAGGAGCCCACGAUGCUGUCCAGCCAAGUACAGUGAACAGCUGGGACCGGAUUCCAGCUCUGAGCCAUGCGCGAGCGCACUCCUAGACCCUCCUCAGCGUGCUUCCUGCAUUUAAAAGCAGGCCUUUUGGAGUUUCCUGGUGACUCAGCAGGUUAAGGAUGUGGCAUUGUCACUGCUGUGGCCCUGAUUACUGCCAUGGCAAGUGUUUUGUCCUGGCCUGGGAAUGCUGGCAUGCUGUUAAUGUAACCAAAAAAAAAAGGAAAAAAAAAGAAAAACAGGCCUUCCUCUCAGGUGGAGGAAAAAGGGUUAGGCUUUCCUCAGAGUAGGUGACUAUAAUCUCUCCACUGAGAAGCAUUCCUUCAAUCCUAAUGCUUAUUUUUGCCAAAAACGUCCCAUCAGAUAUUCUCACACAACUCCAACAUAGAGGUCUUCCUCCUGAGCCUUCACACCUAAUGCAUUCCUAAGAACGUUACCUGGACCAUCUCCUACCCCAGAUGGACUGGAGGAUGGGGGUCCCUUUGUUGUUUAAAGGUAGAAAGGUAACAAGGGGAAUUUGGUUUAAGAAAGUGCCCCUCAACAGCCCAGGGGUGUCCAUUAUGUUUCUACAUACAAUGCUGUGUCAGUCUGCUCAGGCUGCCAUAACAAAAUACCAUGGACUAGUGGGCUUCACAGAAAUUUCUCAUGGUUUUGGAGGCUGGGAAGUUCAAAAUCAAGGUGCUGGUCAAUUCAGUCCCCAGUGCCAGCUCUCUUCCUGAUUUGCUGAUGGAAGACUUAUUUCCUCACACAGCCCAACCUCAGAGCAGACCUAGGAAGGGCGGUCUCUCUCCCUCUUCUCUUAAAGCCACUAAUCCCAUCAUGAUGACCCCACCCUCUUGACCUCAUCUAAUCCUAAUUACAGCCCAGAGGCCUCACCUCCAAAUACCAUCCUUCUGAGGGUUAGUUAAGACAUCAUUUGAUUGGGUGGGUUGUUAUAAACCUUGAGUCCAUACUGAGUAGGUCAGAACAAGCCAAGGAAGGAAAGAAGACAAAGAACUCUGUCAUCUAGCGGCGUGGAACCACCAAAUAUUUGGUAGCUCUAAAGAAAUGAAUUGGGAGUUCCCGUUGUGGCGCAGCGGAAACAGGUCGGACUAGGAACCAUGAGGUUGCAGGUUCCAUUCCUAGCCUCGCUCAGUGGGUUAAGGAUCUGGCGUUGCCGUGAGCUGUGGUGUAGGUUCCAGAGGCAGUUUGGAUCCUGUGUUGCUGUGGCUGUGGUGUAGGCCGGCAGCUGAGCUUCAAUUAGACACCCAGCCUGGGAACCCCCAUAUGCCACAGGUGCGGCCCUAAAAAGAAAAGAAAAGAAAAGAAAGAAAAUGAAUUAUUCACAAGCUUUUUCUUGUGAACUCAAAUCCCUAAUGGCUGAGUCUUCAUCUUCCCAUUUCUCUCUUUUAAAGAGCCAUUAGAUUCAAAAAAUCUAACUGUAUUACAAAUAUAUGAAACCACCUCAUAAAAAAGUGUAAGGAGAAAACACUCUAGAAAUGAAUGGAAUCUAUAAGACCAAAAGCAAAAGCAACUGUACAUUAGUAUUUUACUGUUGUUGACCAAGUUGCUUCCCAGAGAGGGAUGGGUUAAGAAUUCUGAAACCACUAAACACGAAUAUUGGAAUUAAACAAGUAAAUGGAUGGCAAAUGGCAGGAACUUUGUUGCCAGCUUUUGGAGUCAGGGGUUAUAGAUAUGCAAGGGGAGAAGGCUAGAAUGAUCCAUGUGCUAAGAGACCAGAACCUGUGACAUCAGUAUAAACGCACGUUUAGCUCAAUAAAGAGAAAGAUGAUAUAUAAUAUACACAUGUUAUUUCUUACUCUAUCAGCCAAGAGGGCUUAGAAGCAGUAACAUCCCAGUAGCAAUAAGCAUACCUAGGGCUCAAAUCUUGGUUUCUAAUACCAAUAAAUUCUCCCCCCCAAAAUGAACUAGAGCUCCUUAGAGAAAUGGCUUAUUCUAGGACUGAGGCAAGAAAUACGUUAAGAUGAGGCUAGAAUAUUUUGUGGUGUCAAAAAUUAAUGAAGUGAUAGGAGUUCCCAUUGUGGCACAAUAGAACUGAAUCCAACUAGUAUCCAUGAGGAUGUAGGUUCAAUCCCUGGCCUCGCUCAGUGUGUUAAGGAUCCGGCAUGAGCUGUGGUGUAGGUCGCAGACAUAGCUCGGAUCCCACAUUGCUGUGUCUGUGGCAUAGGCUGGUAGCUACAACUCUGAUUCAGUCCCCGGCCUGGGAACUUUCACAUGCUCCAAAUGUAGCCAAAAAAAAAAAAAAAAAAAAAAAAAA
ensembl:lncRNA